rnacentral:rRNA from 1 species
GUUAAGCGACUAAGCGUACACGGUGGAUGCCCUGGCAGUCAGAGGCGAUGAAGGACGUGCUAAUCUGCGAUAAGCGUCGGUAAGGUGAUAUGAACCGUUAUAACCGGCGAUUUCCGAAUGGGGAAACCCAGUGUGAUUUGUCACACUAUCAUUAACUGAAUCCAUAGGUUAAUGAGGCGAACCGGGGGAACUGAAACAUCUAAGUACCCCGAGGAAAAGAAAUCAACCGAGAUUCCCCCAGUAGCGGCGAGCGAACGGGGAGCAGCCCAGAGCCUGAAUCAGUGUGUGUGUUAGUGGAAGCGUCUGGAAAGGCGCGCGAUACAGGGUGACAGCCCCGUACACAAAAAUGCACAUACUGUGAGCUCGAUGAGUAGGGCGGGACACGUGGUAUCCUGUCUGAAUAUGGGGGGACCAUCCUCCAAGGCUAAAUACUCCUGACUGACCGAUAGUGAACCAGUACCGUGAGGGAAAGGCGAAAAGAACCCCGGCGAGGGGAGUGAAAAAGAACCUGAAACCGUGUACGUACAAGCAGUGGGAGCCUCUUUAUGGGGUGACUGCGUACCUUUUGUAUAAUGGGUCAGCGACUUAUAUUCUGUAGCAAGGUUAACCGAAUAGGGGAGCCGAAGGGAAACCGAGUCUUAACUGGGCGUUAAGUUGCAGGGUAUAGACCCGAAACCCGGUGAUCUAGCCAUGGGCAGGUUGAAGGUUGGGUAACACUAACUGGAGGACCGAACCGACUAAUGUUGAAAAAUUAGCGGAUGACUUGUGGCUGGGGGUGAAAGGCCAAUCAAACCGGGAGAUAGCUGGUUCUCCCCGAAAGCUAUUUAGGUAGCGCCUCGUGAACUCAUCUCCGGGGGUAGAGCACUGUUUCGGCAAGGGGGUCAUCCCGACUUACCAACCCGAUGCAAACUGCGAAUACCGGAGAAUGUUAUCACGGGAGACACACGGCGGGUGCUAACGUCCGUCGUGAAGAGGGAAACAACCCAGACCGCCAGCUAAGGUCCCAAAGUCAUGGUUAAGUGGGAAACGAUGUGGGAAGGCCCAGACAGCCAGGAUGUUGGCUUAGAAGCAGCCAUCAUUUAAAGAAAGCGUAAUAGCUCACUGGUCGAGUCGGCCUGCGCGGAAGAUGUAACGGGGCUAAACCAUGCACCGAAGCUGCGGCAGCGACACUAUGUGUUGUUGGGUAGGGGAGCGUUCUGUAAGCCUGCGAAGGUGUGCUGUGAGGCAUGCUGGAGGUAUCAGAAGUGCGAAUGCUGACAUAAGUAACGAUAAAGCGGGUGAAAAGCCCGCUCGCCGGAAGACCAAGGGUUCCUGUCCAACGUUAAUCGGGGCAGGGUGAGUCGACCCCUAAGGCGAGGCCGAAAGGCGUAGUCGAUGGGAAACAGGUUAAUAUUCCUGUACUUGGUGUUACUGCGAAGGGGGGACGGAGAAGGCUAUGUUGGCCGGGCGACGGUUGUCCCGGUUUAAGCGUGUAGGCUGGUUUUCCAGGCAAAUCCGGAAAAUCAAGGCUGAGGCGUGAUGACGAGGCACUACGGUGCUGAAGCAACAAAUGCCCUGCUUCCAGGAAAAGCCUCUAAGCAUCAGGUAACAUCAAAUCGUACCCCAAACCGACACAGGUGGUCAGGUAGAGAAUACCAAGGCGCUUGAGAGAACUCGGGUGAAGGAACUAGGCAAAAUGGUGCCGUAACUUCGGGAGAAGGCACGCUGAUAUGUAGGUGAAGUCCCUCGCGGAUGGAGCUGAAAUCAGUCGAAGAUACCAGCUGGCUGCAACUGUUUAUUAAAAACACAGCACUGUGCAAACACGAAAGUGGACGUAUACGGUGUGACGCCUGCCCGGUGCCGGAAGGUUAAUUGAUGGGGUCAGCGCAAGCGAAGCUCUUGAUCGAAGCCCCGGUAAACGGCGGCCGUAACUAUAACGGUCCUAAGGUAGCGAAAUUCCUUGUCGGGUAAGUUCCGACCUGCACGAAUGGCGUAAUGAUGGCCAGGCUGUCUCCACCCGAGACUCAGUGAAAUUGAACUCGCUGUGAAGAUGCAGUGUACCCGCGGCAAGACGGAAAGACCCCGUGAACCUUUACUAUAGCUUGACACUGAACAUUGAGCCUUGAUGUGUAGGAUAGGUGGGAGGCUUAGAAGUGUGGACGCCAGUCUGCAUGGAGCCGACCUUGAAAUACCACCCUUUAAUGUUUGAUGUUCUAACGUGGACCCGUGAUCCGGGUUGCGGACAGUGUCUGGUGGGUAGUUUGACUGGGGCGGUCUCCUCCUAAAGAGUAACGGAGGAGCACGAAGGUUGGCUAAUCCUGGUCGGACAUCAGGAGGUUAGUGCAAUGGCAUAAGCCAGCUUGACUGCGAGCGUGACGGCGCGAGCAGGUGCGAAAGCAGGUCAUAGUGAUCCGGUGGUUCUGAAUGGAAGGGCCAUCGCUCAACGGAUAAAAGGUACUCCGGGGAUAACAGGCUGAUACCGCCCAAGAGUUCAUAUCGACGGCGGUGUUUGGCACCUCGAUGUCGGCUCAUCACAUCCUGGGGCUGAAGUAGGUCCCAAGGGUAUGGCUGUUCGCCAUUUAAAGUGGUACGCGAGCUGGGUUUAGAACGUCGUGAGACAGUUCGGUCCCUAUCUGCCGUGGGCGCUGGAGAACUGAGGGGGGCUGCUCCUAGUACGAGAGGACCGGAGUGGACGCAUCACUGGUGUUCGGGUUGUCAUGCCAAUGGCACUGCCCGGUAGCUAAAUGCGGAAGAGAUAAGUGCUGAAAGCAUCUAAGCACGAAACUUGCCCCGAGAUGAGUUCUCCCUGACCCUUUAAGGGUCCUGAAGGAACGUUGAAGACGACGACGUUGAUAGGCCGGGUGUGUAAGCGCAGCGAUGCGUUGAGCUAACCGGUACUAAUGAACCGUGAGGCUUAACCUU